rnacentral:SRP_RNA from 1 species
GCCGGGUGCGGUGGCGGGCACCUGUAAUCCCAGCUACUCAGGAGGCUGAGGCAGGAGAAUUGCUUGAACCCAGGAGGCAGAAGUCACAGUGAGCCAAGAUCGCACCACUACACUCCAGCCUGGGCAACAGAGUGAGAUUCUGUCUCAA